UACGAAGGGUGCAAGCGUUACUCGGAAUUACUGGGCGUAAAGCGUGCGUAGGUGGUUCGUUAAGUCUGAUGUGAAAGCCCUGGGCUCAACCUGGGAAUGGCAUUGGAAACUGGCGACCUAGAGUGCGGUAGAGGGUAGUGGAAUUCCCGGUGUAGCAGUGAAAUGCGUAGAGAUCGGGAAGAACAUCGGUGGCGAAAGCGCUCUACUGGACUGCAACUGACACUCAGGGACGAAAGCUAGGGGAGCGAAUGGG
rnacentral:rRNA from 1 species